ACCUAGUAGCUGUAGGUAUUCAGGGACUUA
rnacentral:rRNA from 1 species